GGGUUUUUAAGUUAUCACUAAGGUUGUUGACACCAUUUUUGGACACGUAUCUUUGGCCGCGCGUCUGGAGUUAAUGAGGUGUAGAUCGGCAGAUGGAGGAGUAGUGACUAGUCUACAGAAGAGUUGCCGAUGAGGGUUGAGGCCGAUGGAAAAGCAGCCGAAUACAACUGCUUGUAUCCCUUUGAUGGCCAAUGCUGAUGGUUGUCGAUGGCUGUGAAAGGCAGUCUGCCGAUGACUCUGAAGAAAAGCGCAGGGGUUGCCGAUUGACUCAGGAUGGGGUACCGAUUGAUCGUGGAGGAUAGUUUAAUGUUUUCCUUAGUUAUUAGAGUUUGUUUUGUAUACGGGUUCCGUUUAAUUUGGAAUUCGAGUCCUAGUCGUGUCUGAUUGUAGCUCUUUGGACAGGGUAUAAAUGUAGACCCUAGGGCAAUGUAAUGAGACAUCUAUCAAUCAAUCAAACACAAGUUUUUACACAUAUUCCAGCAUCUACUUUUUCGGCGACUUCGUCAUAUUUUCUUUUUACUACGAGUUCUUAGGAAUUCGUUGAGUCAAACUCGGCGUGUUCUCAAGUUCCGUGUGAGCACCUCUUGGCCGUGACAUCCGGGCGCAUCGCUGUUGUCGAAGACCAAAGUGUUCAAGUUACCACCUUUGUCCAUUGUAAGGUCAAAUCGGCUGGCACGCCUUAACGUUUGAAUCGGGUAUUAGCCCUUUGUGUUUGCAGAUCAGCUUUUGCACCAACACAUCUUUUGGCACGCCCGGUGGGAUAGAUUCAAGAUCAAGAACAACAUGUCGAACACCGAUUUCGACUUGGAGAACUUUAUCCCCAUGACGGAAGCCAAUCUCAGGGAUGAGCAGAAGCAAGCUAUGGCAAAAGCCGUGGAGGACUACAAGCAGCUAUGCUUGAAAUCCUUUAGUAUCAACAGGAGUGGCGAGGUGAUCUAGAAGGAAGCAUUGCUGAUGCCUCAGCAGAUUACUUUUGAAGCCAAUCCUGGUAAACUUCAAGACAUGGUUGACAGUGCUAUUAACCGUGGCUUGAUCAAUCAAGCUGGUGUGCUGUCCAACACGGUUUUCAAUGCUGUGGCUAGAACAUUCAAAGAAGGACAAGUACCACCAACUUAUGUGGGUCCUGCCUAUCAUCAGCCAAGGUCAUCAUUGGUCACGGCUCCAUCGGCUACUACAGCCGUUGCGGGUACAAAAGCUACUUCUCCUCCAAACACAUUAGGGAUUACUAAUGCACAGUCUACACCAAUGACAACCAAUCCAUCAACAUCAGACUGGCAAAUCAAGAUUGCCACAGAUCUAUUGGCAUCGGCAAUGUCAGGGACUGUUCCUCCCAACUGGUGGGGUUAUGGUAUGCCCCUAGAAUUGAUGGCAAAAAGUCCUGGAACAUCUCAAGUGGCUGAUGUGGCAGGCAAGGCUCCUAUGGCAUCGGCACCUCUAAAUCCACCGAUGAAUCAGAAUCCCCAGUACUCUACAACUACUAUUGCAAGACCUGACGCUGGGAAUUCGCAAGCACCAACGUUCCAGAUGCCUAAUGCAUCGGCAGAUCCAAUGCCGACGCAGCGGAAGUUUAUGACACAACCAGGGUAUGUCAAUUCAAUGAUGAUGCCCAAUCACCAAUCAUCGGCAGGGCCUACGCCGAUGAAUGUUAAUAAUGGAUGGACAGGCCAGUUUGUCUUUCCACAGAUUCCUCAGCAGAAUCAUCAGGCUGUAGGGUUUCAACAUGGACCAGUCCAACCUGGGUUCCAGAAUCAAGGAUUGAUCAACCAGCCAAUGAAUCUUGGUCAACAAAUUGGUGGUCAGAUGGUUAAUCCAAUGUUCCAUGGAGAUCGUACACCACAGAGACACGUGGAAGCAUAUCAGCAGGUGCCAGAUCCACAACCACCUCAUCGGCAAGAUGCCGAUGCUUAUUGGGCCGAUAAGAUAGCUGAAGUAAUGAGAGACGAAUUUGGAAUAAAACCCAAAGUCAACACUUACUCUUAUCGGACACCAUAUCCUCCUGCAUAUGACUUAAUUCCACUUCCAAAUCGGUACAAGGUACCGGAUUUCACUAAGUUUUCUAGACAGGAUGAUACGUCAACUAUGGAGCAUGUCAAUAGGUUCAUCAUCUAGUGUGGAGAAGCUGCUAACAGAGAUGAGUUAAGGGUUCGCUUAUUCUCAUCAUCUUUGUCUGGAUCGGCCUUUACUUGGUUUAUUUCAUUACCCCCUAAUUCAGUAAUCACAUGGGCCGAUGUAGAGAAACAAUUCCACAAAUACUUCUUUUCUGGUGUUCAUGAGAUGAAGAUUACAGAUUUAGUCAGGCUGAAGCAAUGCAACGAUGAAUCGGUUGAAAGCUUUGUGCAGAGGUUGUGAGAGGUUAAAAAUAAGUGCUAUAGUAUGGUUCUCGACGAUAGGCAGCUAGCCGAUUUGGCCUUCCAGGGAUUGUUGCCACAUAACAGAGACAAGUAUGCUUCUCAAGAGUUUGAGAGUCUAAGUCAUUUGGUGCAGAGGAUUUCUGACCAAGAUAUCAAACCUUUUGAGCCCAAGAGAGCAUGGAAUAAAAAGGUGUCAUUUGUCGAUGAGGCAGCAAGCUCAGACUCUGAUGAAGAACCAGGCAUCGGCCUGGCAGAGUGGGUAAAAAAUAAAAAGCCGAUGUCUUGCCCUUUUGGGCAUAAAGAGCCAGAGAAAUUUGCAUUUGAUAUCACCAAAGCCGAUAGGAUAUUUGACUUUCUGCUUCAGGAAGGGCAAAUCAAGUUGUCACCCAAUCAUGUGAUUCCAUCGGUUGAGGAAUUAAAGAAGAUGAAAUAUUUCAAGUGGCACAAUGCAACGUCUCACAGCACAAAUGAGUGCAAGGUUUUCAGGCAACAGCUGCAAUCGGCUAUAGAAUCUGGGAGAAUCAAAUUUGAUAAUUCUAAAGCUCAGAAGCUGAUGAAGAUUGAUCAACAUCCUUUCCCAACAAAUAUGUUGGAUGCUAAGGGAAAAACCAAGGUCUUGACAUCAGAGGCAGCUGAAAGAAGUGCAUCGGUGGAUCCUCAACAUCAGAUCACUACCGAUGACGCUAAAGGCAAGGGUGUGGUUCAAGAAGGAACCAGCUUAGGAAGGCCUCCCCGAUCUGGCACUGUGAUCACUCAUAGAAGGCAUGGGGAGACUUGGCAGCAACAUGAAGAUUGGUAUCGGCGUCAACAGGAGGAUCGUCGCCGAGAAGAAGACCGACGCCGACAGGAGUGGAAUCAGCAUAAAGAUCACUGGAACUGCCCGUUCUUUAUCCAUUGCUGGGAGCAAAACAUUAAACUGCACACUGUUAGAGAUUGCCCUGAGUGCAAUGGUUAUGAUCGGUAUGAUAGACCUAAUCGGCAGUAUCAGAAUGAUGGUCGACGAUUUAAUGGGCCGAUUAGGGGGAGAGCUUGAGUUCAUGAUCGGCUGAGGGGCAGGCUGAGUGUGCAUGAUAGACUUGGUGACCGUGUCGGAUACUUUCUCACGAACCAAGAGGAACUUGAGGAGAUGGCAGAUGCAUGAGUUCCCGAUGAAUUCAUAUUCUGCAGAGAUGCCAAUACUUACCGAGUGGAGUCAAGGGAAGUUCGUCGGUAAUCAGUAAGGCAGCCGCAACUUCCUCCAUGGUGUCCAGAGGGGCUGACAAGGACACAGAUAAGAUGGCUGCAGCGCGAAAGACGAGAAGACUUGAGCAAAGGAGAGAAUUCUAGCAAAUCUGGAGAUCAGCAGCAGCCGGAUCCUAAGGGAAAAGGACCAUCAGCAGAUGUUAACAUGGUAUUUAUGUUGCCGAUGGAGUUCCUUGCGCCGUCCAGUGAUGAUGAGGAGGUGUAUUUUUCUGACCAGAUAGCUCAGUUGGCUCUGGAUCCAAAGACGGCUAUCUUUGAAAAGCCUGCCGACAAUGAAAGACAGCAUCUUAAAGCCCCGUGGUAGGGUUGAUGGGCAGCCAAUGACCAAGAUAUUAGAUGAUGGUGGGGCUGCUAUCAAUAUUAUGCCAUAUUCAGUUUAUCAGAAGCUUGGGAAAGGAGAUCAAGAUUUGACCAAGACCGAUAUGAUGCUAAAAGACUUUGAGGGGAAUGUGUCUCCUGUUAACGGUCCAAUAUGCGUCGAGUUGACCAUCGGCAGCAAUACCUUGCUGACAACUUUCUUCAUGAUCAGUGGAAAGGGUGCUUACAAUCUAUUGUUGGGGAGAGAUUGGAUCCAUGCCAAUUGUUGCAUCCCAUCUACAAUGCACCAAUGUUUGGUUCAGUGGGUAGGUGACAAGAUUGAGAUUGUCCCGGGAGAUUCUUCAUACGUCAUUGCAUCGGCUGAAGCAAAUACUUAUGAAAGGACCAGAUGCAUUUCAGGGGAGAUUGGGGAGAAGGAUUUUCUCAAGGUUGCCAAUUAUGAAAUUCCACUGAUCCAAGCAGUCGGUUCUGAUGAGGAGUUUUAAUGGAUAGGUUCGCCGAUGAUGGAAAAUUAGUCCAGGGGUUUAUAUCGGCCGAUGAUUUAGUAGAAGUAGAUAUAGGUAAUGGUGAUAAGCCAAGACAUACUUUUAUUAGUGCUAAGUUAAAUUCUGAGUGUAAGCAACAGUUAACCGAUUUGUUAAAGAAAUAUAAAGAUUGCUUUGCUUGGGAUUAUACUGAGAUGCCUGGUUUGGACUGAUCCAUUGUUGAACAUCGGUUGCCUAUCAAAUCUGGAUUUCGGCCACAUCAGCAGCCGGCUCGCCGAUGCAAUCCUAAUAUUCUUCUUGAUAUUAAGGCCAAGAUAACCAAACUUAUUGAAGCUAAAUUUAUUCGGCAGUGUCGAUAUGCCGAGUGGAUUUCCAAUGUUGUUCCAGUUUACAAGAAGAAUGGGAAGCUUCGAGUUUGCAUUGAUUUCAGGAAUCUUAACAAGGCUACGCCGAUGGAUGGCUACCCAAUGCCAGUUGCCGAUUUGCUAGUCGAUGCUGCGGCUGGACAUCGGAUCAUAAGCUUCAUGGAUGGCAAUGCAGGAUAUAAUUAGAUAUUCAUGGCUGAAGAAGAUAUUCCAAAGACCGCAUUUAGAUGUCCUGGUCAUGUUGGGCUGUUUGAAUGGAUAGUCAUGACCUUUGGCUUAAAAAAUGCUGGUGCUACCUAUCAAAGGGCUAUGAAUUUUAUCUUUCAUGAGUUCAUCGGCAAGCUGGUAGAAAUUUACAUUGAUGAUGUGCUGGUUAAGUCUGGGGAUUUCACAAAGCAUCUGGCCGAUUUGCAAAAGGUGUUGGAAUGCACAAGGAAACAUGGUUUAAAGAUGAAUCCUAAUAAGUGUGCAUUUGGUGUAUCGGCAAGACAAUUUCUUGGUUUCAUGGUGCAUCAGAGAGGAAUUGAAAUUAGUAGGAGAUCUAUUGAUGCCAUCAAUAAGUUAGUUGCUCCUACCAACAAAACUAAACUCCAGUCUUUGAUCGGCAAGGUAAAUGUUAUCAGACGGUUUAUAUCUAAUUUGUCUGGUAAAAUUCGUGCUUUCAAUCCUUUACUUAAAUUGAAAGCCGAUCAAGAAUUUGUAUGGGGAGAAGAGCAACAGUUGGCCUUGGAUGAAAUCAAGAAUUAUUUGACAAAUCCUCCAGUUUUAAUUCCACCUCAGGAAUGAAAGCCCUUCAGAUUAUAUUUGUCUACCGAUGGGCUGGUCAUCGGUUCGGCUUUAAUUCAAGAAUUUGAAGGAAAGGAGAGUGUGAUUUAUUAUUUAAGUAGAAGACUGAUUGAUGCUGAGACCAAGUAUUCGGCAAUAGAAAAAUUAUGUUUAUGCCUAUAUUUUUCAUGCAUUAAGUUGAGGCACUAUUUGCUAUCGGCCGAAUGCACCGUUAUAUGUAAGGAUGAUGUGGUCCGAUACAUGUUGUCUAUGCCGAUUAUGAGUGGUAGAAUCGGCAAAUGGAUUUUGGCACUGUCGGAGUUUGAUCUACGUUAUGAAUCAGCUAAGGCAGUAAAAGGGCAGGUUAUGGCCGAUUUUGUGACUCAACAUUGCGGUGUAGUGGAGACUUUGGAAAUUGUUCCUUGGACACUCUUCUUUGAGGGGUCUACCUGUGACCGGGGGCAGGAAUCGGCAUAGUACUAAUUUCCCCUCAGGGAAGGAAGUAUGAAUUCUCUCUGCCGGUUGUUGCCACAUCAACGAAUAAUCAAGCUGAGUAUCUAGCUUUGAUCAAGGGGUUGGAAUUAUUAAAAGAGGUUCAUGCUGAUGUUGUUGAAAUCUUUGGGGAUUCUAUGCUGGUCAUAAAUCAGUUAGCUGGAAGUUAUGAAUGCCGAAGCAAACUCCUGAUAACUUAUUAUGAGAAAAGUAUGCAACUAUUAAAGGAAUUCAAAGAUUUCUGAUUAGAGCAUGAUCCUCGGUUACAUAGUGAGGAGUCUAAUCGGUUGGCUCAGCAUGCCUCGGGAUAUCAACCCAUAUUAAACACGGUAUCGGCAAUCGGUGUCGAUGAUUGGAGAAAGGAGAUCAUUGAUUAUUUAAAGGAUCCAUCGAAAAAGGUUGAGAGACGUAUUAGGUUUCAAGCUACCAAGUAUGUGCUCCUCGAGGAUGAACUAUAUUACCGAACUAUAGAUGGAGUUCUUCUCAAAUACUUAGGUAAUGAUGAAGCUAAAAGUUUGAUGGGUGAAAUCCAGGAAGGAGUGUGUGGAGCACAUCAGUUGGCUUUUAAGAUGAAAUGGAUGAUCAGGAGAAAUGGGUAUUAUUGGCCGACUAUACUCGAGGAUUGCUUUAAAUAUUUCAAAGGAUGUCAAGGAUGUCAGAAAUUUGGCAAUAUUCAAAGGGCACCCGCAUCGGCUAUGAAUCCCAUCAUUAAACCUUGGCCGUUCCUAUGGUGGGCUAUUGAUUUGAUCGGCCAGAUUUAUCCACCAUCAAGCAAAGGGCAUAAGUUCAUCUUAGUUGCCACUGAUUAUUUCACUAAGUGGGUUGAUGUUGUUCCUUUGAAGAAAGCAACAUCGGCCAAUAUGAUUGAUUUUGUGAAAGAGCAUAUUAUUUACCGAUCUGGUAUUCCUCAAACGAUUACUACCGAUCAGGGUCAUGUUUACAUCAGGGGAGUUUGAUGAAUUUGCAAUCGGUAUGGGGAUUAAAGUAUUGAAUUCUUCUACUUAUUAUGCUCAAGCCAACGGGCAGGCCGAGGCAUCCAACAAAGGAAUCAUUAAGCUCAUCAAACAGAAGAUUGAAGAAAAUCCUAGAAGAUGGCAUACAUUGUUAAGUGAGGCUUUAUGGUCAUAUUGGAUGGCAUGUCAUGGGUCGACUAAAGUUUCAGCUUAUCAGUUGGUGUAUGGACAUGAUGUAGUGCUACCAUGGGAAAUUAAGACCAGAUCUAGGUGACUAUCUUUUCAGGAUCAGCUGGCUGCCGAUGACUAUGCUAUUUUAAUGAAAGACGAGUUAGAUGAUUUAGCAGGGCAUCGGCUGAGGGCUUUGAUUAGUAUAGAAGAAAAUAAAAAAGAGAGUUGCUAGGUGGUAUGAUAAAAAGGUAAAAGCUAAGUAGUUUGCUGAUGGAGAUUCGGUGUGGAAUCUAAUCUUACCGAUUGGGACUAAAAGUUCAAAAUUUGGAAAGUGGUCUCCUAAUUGGGAAGGUCCUUAUCGGAUAAAUCAGUCUGGUCCUGGUAAUGCUUAUAUUUUGGAAACUCUCGAAGGAGUUGAAUUUCCCAGAGCAUUGAAUGGAAAAUACUUAAAGAAAUAUUACCCGAGCAUAUGGGUCCAUGCAUGAAAGCUUAACUGCCGAUAACAUUACUAUCGGCUGGAUUAAAGUGUAUCUGGGACUGAAUACGAUGUUUCAAAAGAAUGCCGAUAACAGUCCUAUUGGCUAGACCAAAAUAAUCAGGAGUUUUUGAAGAAAGAGCAAAACAUGCCGCUGAUGAAGAGCUUAUACAUUCAGUAGAGCUUGGAUCGUCGAUAUGGCGCGCCGACGAAUUUGAUCGGCUUUUCUAUCUCCUUGAUGUCUUCAUAGGCAGAGCCCUCCACUGGCUUCAGCUUCUUCUUCAUCUGCAGUGCCUUGCGGGCUUGAAUGUUUCGCUCUUGUUCGAGGGCCUUGAUCAUUUCGGGCAGUUGAUUUUCUUCUUGCUGAGCUUGGGACAGAGCCUCUUCUACUUGCUUAAGCUCUGCCAACAGGGCUUCCCUUUUUGCCGAUAGGUCAGAGAUCUUUUGUCUCAGCAUCUCUCCUGAGGAUUUUAGAAUGCCAAUGCUCUUAUGUUUCUCAUUGGCAAGAUGCUUCACUUUCAUUACAUCCUCCGAGAGCGGGGCAUGAGUGGCUCUAUCGGCAAGACGUUUUGCUGGAUCAGAGUCGUCAACUAAUUGAGCUGUAUCCUGAUGAAGCAGGGCCAGCAAAUCCUACAGUUUAGCUCUGAUUUCUGCCGAUGAAAUCCCUACUGCUUGAGAAGAGCUUGCUUCCUCGCCUUCAUCAUCAGAAAUUUCGAUGGCGAAGGAAAACAGGCUGUCAGGAGAGUUCUGUUCUAGAAAAGAAGAUAAAAUAAGUUAUUUGAUGAUCAAAUACUGGUGAUGAUGAAAAUAGAAAUCAGGUGAUUUACUUGUUUCAGGGAAAUUUCUCGCCUCUGACUAGCUGAGGCCGAUGGUACCACAGGUUGAUCGGCUAGAGUUGUCGAUGGAAUGAUGUCAGCUGAAAAUUAUAUAAUAAUAAUGAGUGUUACAAGUUAAAGAAAAAAUUCAUCAGCAAAUAAUCUUAUGGACAGAACCUUACCUUGAGGGGGUGCAAUGCUUGUUUGGGUUGAAGAGACUACCGAUGAUAUGAUUGAUCCCACUGGAUCGGCAGUCUGCUCAAGUACAUCGGCUGAUAUCUCUUCUGGCCGAGGUACUUCUUGUGGCUGAGGUGUAGAUGGCGCUUGCCGUAUCUGAACUUCUGGCGAAGAAGGAGACGAUUCCACAUAAAAUCGGCGACCUUGGAGGAGGAGGAGGAGGAGGCGAUGCUGUCUUCUGGCGUUUUGCUUGUGACUUGGUACUCUUGGGGCCUUUUCUCUUGACUUGGCCAGACCGGGGGGCAUCGGCACUUGUCCUGGUCCUUGCCGAUUUGCCAGUUUGCUGAUAUAGCAACAAAAGUUUCAUAAGAACAAAUGUGACAGAGUAAUGAUGGAAUUUUGAUUGAGACAGUAAAGGUUACCGAUGAGGUUCCCAUAGCAGCCGAUGUAUCCGAAAAAUGUCGUGUGAGUAUGGAAUGGAAUCGGUGUAAAUUGAAGAAAUCAGGGAUUUACCAUGAAAGCUUGUGCCAGAGUAGUGGCAGCCACCGAUGGGGAUGUCUUUGCUCGUCUGGUGGUAAUCUUAUUGAAACACACGUUCCUAUGCAUCAGAGCUACCAGGGUUGGUGCGUUGUUACCGAUAAGGGAGAUCGGGCAUGAUGGAAGGAGUUCGAUCGGCUUUCCGCUCCUGCUGACAGUCGGUGGUGUAUCGUCAACCUAUUUAAAAAAGAGAAAAAAGUGAGUUACCGAUAGGAAUAAAAGUAAUAAAAGAAGAUGGAAUCAUCGGUUAAAAACUUACAGUGUUCUCAGGGACUUUGUACUUGGGGUCGAUUAUGCCGCGGUAUGUGAGGGCCGAUCUGCAGAACAGGUGCUCUUUCCACUCCUCCCACCACUAUUUGUAUGCUUGACAAAUGAAGAGAGCUGGGAUCCAAGCAGAUAGAUCGACGUCUGUAUCCGCAUUUGGUGGAAGUUGAGCUAUUCUGAUCCACUCGAAACCGUUGGUUAUGGUCUCCCUUGGUUUCACCACAUCGGCGUAGCAGAGUGCAAUCGGUAGCUGUCCAAAGGCUAGUUGGCGAGCUAGUGCCGAUGGGUUGUAAAACUCAUAGGUUAGAUUGGAGGCUUUUCCGCUACCAAAGAAGUUCACUGGUAUGGCUCUCGGAGUGAUAAUUGGCAUCAUCAGAUCAUGGUCCUUAUUGAGAGCAUCAUCAAAAGGGUGGAAAGUGAGUGGGAAUCUGGUUUCUGGAUCCUCGUAGGGCAUCCAUGCCCGUUGGUCUUUAGCCAGACCCUCAUAAAGAGUCUGAAAGAAUCAGCUGACCUCGUCCUCAUUGCCACUGGUACUAGGUAAAACUAUGGCAGCUUCACCAUAGUUCAGAGGGGAGCGAGUUGCUGAUUCUUCCUCGUCCAGCUCAUGAUCUUCAGUUAUAUCUCUGGGGAAGCGCUGUGCAAAGAGGUUGAAUCCAAGGUGCUUAUGCAUGUGGAUGCUAAGCCACAUGUUGAUAAACCACUAGGGUCCCCCUAAGUUGCCGAUGGGUUGGCCUAGCAGAAGUUUCUUAGCUACCUGAUGGCGAAGGUGAUAAACAAAACCGAGCAGGUACCGACCAAGAGGAAAUCGGCCACCAUUGGCCAGUCUCUCUGCUGCCGAUAGAUAGGCAGAGGCUGGUCCUGCCGAUCGGCCACAGAAUACAAACUUAUCCAGCCACAUGUUCAAGAAAAUGACAUGUUCUCUUUCCCCGACAGGUCCUGUUUUUCGGUACUUCUGAAUAUACCCAGACCAACCGCCGAUACUGCGAGUCUCUACCUUAGAACUGGGCUUAUUAUCAAACAGAUGACUAUUAUCGGCAGUUGAUAUGUCUAAGCCGGUGAGCAUGAGUACAUUGGCAUGAGUAGGUGAAGCAGGGCCGUGGUCGAAUACAAAAGCGUUGAGUGUGUCUGACCAAAAGUACGAGGCAGCUAUCAGCAGCGACUCGUUCCUCUCCAUAUCGGCAAUAGAUAAUCUGAUGCAUUGGUCUAAUUUCUGCUCACCCCAUUGGACUUCAUUUGAAUGGCUGAUUCUCAGGAACCAGUCAUUCCAUCCCAUGGUAGGAUUGGGCCAGGAACGGAAAGCAUCUUUCCACAGAUCUAAGGAGAAGUUCUCAGCUCUAAAGGGGAUCCUAUUUGUCUCUGCGUUUAUCAGAUCGGUAGGAUCUGGGUUUCCCAAUGGACCGAGACAAUGGAAGUGAGGCUGAUCGGUGGGGAUCACGAUCUUAUCGGCUAAUUCCUAAAGGGUUUAAAGAUUGGAAGAACAAAAAAAAGAGAGAAAAAAAAGUACUCAGUAAAUAGAUUUGCAGAUGAACAGGAGUACAGUAAAAGUAUAAAAGAAGGGAUGAUAGGUUGACCACAAGAACGACGAAGUUGAUGGCCAUCUCUUCCUGGGAGAAGAAAGAAUCAAGGACUCGGAGGAUCGAUGGAGGAAGUCCUUGCUGGAGUUCUUGAAGUUAUCAAGCAAUGUCGCCGCCAGAAAAGUGGGUAUGAGGAUGUAGAAUGACAAGAUGGAGGAAGAGUACCGGAGAAGGAAGUAUUUAUAGGACAAGGAGGGCAGGGGCAAAUUUGACUUAUCUCUUUGCCGCAUCCGUGAAAUCCGAGGGUGUUCAGGUGGAUAUGGUAACUAUUCGCAUGAUAAUCAAGGGAUUGUGCAGGUGAUUUGACAGCAAGCGGUCAUGAUUAUGGAGAUAUUUGACUGUGCGAGAUCUCCUGGUCGGUUCAUCGGCAGUCUUGUUUAAUGGAAAUGUUGCGAAUGAGAGUAUUCUAGAGAGAUUCGGUUCGAAAAAAUUGGGAAGUUCGAGGAACCUGCAGGAGGAUCAGGCUGAGGUUGUUCAAGAUUUGGUGAUUGAUUACCAAAUUGGGGGGAAGUAAUUGUGAAAAGGCGUCAUUACUGAGGCAAAUUUUGGAGCAUUAAUAAUGUUAUACUCCAAAAUUGGGGGGGCAUGUGUUGACACCGUUUUUGGACACGUAUCUUUGGGCGCGCGUUUGGAGUUAAUGUGGUGUAGAUCGGCAGGUGGAGGAGUAGUGACAAGUCUACAGAAGAGUUGCCAAUGAGGGUUGAUGCCGAUGGAAAAGCAGCCGAAUACAACUAAGUCCAUGGAUGGUAAUAUGUUCAUACCGAUGGCCAAUGCUGAUGGCUGCCGAUGGCUAUGAAAGGCAGUCUGCCGAUGACUCUGAAGAAAAGCGCAGGGGUUGCCAAUUGACCCAGGAUGGGGUACCGAUUAAUCGUGGAGGAUAGUUUAAUGUUUUCCUUAGUUAUUAGAGUUCGUUUUGUAUACGGAUUCCGUUUAAUUUGGAAUUCGAGUCCAAGUCGUGUCUGGUUGUAGCUCUUUGGACAGGGUAUAAAUGUAGACCCUAGGGAAAUGUAAUGAGACAUCUAUCAAUCAAUCAAACAUAAGUUUUUACACAUAUUCCAACAUCUACUUUUUCGGCGACUUCGUCAUAUUUUCUUUUUACUACCAGUUCUUAGGAAUUCGUCGAGUCAAACUCAGCGUGUUCUCAAGUUCCGCGUGAGCACCUCUUAGCCGUGACAUCCGGGCGCAUUGCUGUUGUCGGGACCAAAGUGUUCAAGUUACAACCUUUGUCGAUUGUAAGGUCUAAUCGGCUGGCACGCCUUAACGUUUGAAUCGGGUAUUAGCCCUUUGUGUUUGCAGAUCAGCUUUUGCACCAACAAAGGUCUUAAGUGAUUGAAAAACAGAACGAUCAAGUCAAGCACUAUGUCUCAAGUUCUUCUGUCUUACCUUUGUUUUGGAGUUUUUUUUGUAAGUUUUCAAAAUAAAACUGAGGCAUUUGCCUUCUUCUCGAAAGAUAUAUAAGUAGAGCUUUAAAAGUUUUAGCAUACUUACUUUGCAUUUUGCUAUGUCAAUGCUCGGAGCAAGGGAGAGGAAUGUCACACUCCUAGAUCAAGACCUUUGAUCUUUUUGAAAAGUUUGUCAUCUCUUACUGGCAUAUUGCUUAUUAGAGGGACCAUGGGCUAUCAUUUUUCUUUCUUUUUUUCAGCCUCUCUCUCUUUUUUUUCUCUUUUUUUUCAAGUGGGCACCAAGUACCCCUAAUCUACUAUCAGACACGUGUCCAUUUUUUCCACUCAGGUGGGUAUCUUUGUACCCCUAAUUCUACUUCAGACAUUUGUCCAUUUUUACCUCUCGUCUCACUCUUUUUUUUCGAAUCAAAUUUUUGCAUAGUCCCAAGCCUCUAACGCAAUAAUACUUCGGAAGAGUGAAUCUUUUAUAUUUUUAAAACAAAAAGAUCUUGAUCUUUGGAGCAUGAUAAUUCUCUCAACCAGGAAUUAACAAAACUACAAGAAUUAACAAUGGCUUGAACAAAACAAGUGCCCACAAUUUUAAUAUUUAUAUCUUAUAAGACUCUAGGUAUUAUGUCAAAUAGGAUCUCAUUUUUUUUUGAAUUUUCAGAUUUUCAAAAGAUAAAAUCUCCAGAACUCUAGCGAAACUUAGAAAACUUAGGAUUACACAAAACUAUUGUAUAUUACUCAAAAGAAAAACUUUGUUUGGUUCCAUGGUUAUGCAUUUUUUUUAUUUAUUUCUGAAUACUAGUAAAUAAAACCAAGAAAGAAAAGUAAUACUUAUCUAGAUACAUGUGGGGGUGCCUCCCCCAAGCUGGAUAUUGACAUAGUCGUUCACUCUUGUGGCCUGCAUGUUUGGUCUCACUCUUCUUAAGCCUCAAAAUCCUACACAACCCAAAUAGACAACAAAACUCGUGGAGCAUGUUAAGGGUUAGGUAAUUGUUUAGAGCUUAUGAGAGCUUAACGUGAGAAUUCUAUGAACUCAAUCACAUCAAGUUCCUCUACCAGGUUGUUUUGUGGCUCGAGAUAGAUUUUCAAGCGUUAACCAUUUACCUUAAAAGUGUUACCUAUGUCGUCUUGGAUGGUAAUGGCUCCAUGAGUUGAAGUGUCAAUAACCUUGUAUGGUCCAUCCCACAUACUUCGUAGCUUACCAUGCCCAAAGAGCUUAACUCUUGAAUUGAAUAGUAGAACCUUAUCUAUAGGCUUAAACUCCUUGUGAUUGAUUCUCUUAUCAUGCCAUCAUUUUGUUCUCUAUUUAUAGAUCCUUGAAUUGUAGUAGGCUUUCUCUCUCCAUUCUUCUAGCUCAGAUAGUUGCAUCAGACGAUUCUCGCUAGCAAGGUGGAGAUCCAUGUUCCAUUUCUUGAGUGCCCAAUGAGCCUUAAACUCUACUUCCAUAGGCAAAUGACAAGUUUUUCCAUAUACAAGUUGAUAAGGUGACAUGCCUAUGGGUGUUUUGAAUGCAGUUCUAUAUGCCCAAAGUGCAUGAGGAAGUUUGUCCUUCCACCCCUUACCCAUCUCAUCUACGGUCUUUUGUAAAAUAUUUUGAUUUGUUUGUUAGAUGUUUCAGCUUGACCGCUAGUCUAAGGAUGGUAUGGUGUUGCGACGUUGUGUCGAACUCCAUGAUCGUCUAGGUACUGCCGGAAGAUUUUGUCAAUGAAGUGGGAACCUACAUCGCUUAUAACUAUCCGGGGUAUACCAAAGCGAGGAAAGAUUACUUCAUGGAUUGACAUGUUUUGAAUCAGCUGAUCGACAAGGUAGGGCUUCUACCCAUUUGGACACGU
rnacentral:lncRNA from 1 species